UACGUAGGGGGCUAGCGUUGCUCGGAAUCACUGGGCGUAAAGCGCACGUAGGCGGAUUCUUAAGUCAGGGGUGAAAUCCUGGAGCUCAACUCCAGAACUGCCUUUGAUACUGGGAAUCUCGAGUCCGGGAGAGGUGAGUGGAACUGCGAGUGUAGAGGUGAAAUUCGUAGAUAUUCGCAAGAACACCAGUGGCGAAGGCGGCUCACUGGCCCGGUACUGACGCUGAGGUGCGAAAGCGUGGGGAGCAAACAGG
rnacentral:rRNA from 1 species